UAUAUUUUAGUGUAAGGGGCACGAUAAUUUUUGAUAUUAUAGGAUAUAGUUUAAUUCUAUAAAAUAUAA
rnacentral:tRNA from 2 species